UUGUUCUCUCUAUAAACGUUUCUCCUCUCUUCUCUCCUAGAUCUGGUACUGUCCUUCUGGUUUCUUUCAAUUCUUGCCCCAGAUUCGAUUAGAUCGUUUCUCAGCCCUCGUUUCGAUUAUGGAAUUUUGUCGUUUCGUUCUAUAUCUCGCUUAUGGUAGCUAUCAUCCUUUUUUAGACUCCGGUUCGUUUUCGCUUUAGAUCUUGCGGAGUUUUGGUGGUCGAACGCUUCAGAAGGUAUCUUUGGUAGAUCUGCUUUGGUUCUUGGCUUCUUUGGAGUCUGAAUUAGAGGCGAUUUUUGUUGUUUCAUUCAAGCAACCACAAACGAUUUGGGAUCUGCUCCGUCUCUAUUUUCAAUGGUUUCCUUUCGUUUUGAGGUGUCGAAAAGAGUCUUGUACGACUUGUGAUCAGCCUUGGGAUGAUCGGAUCGUGGUGAUGGACAUGCGUGCUGUGGUGUAGUCGUCGAGCGCGGUAGACACCUGGGCCCGUGGAUGAUCUUGAGAAUUACAAUCGGUUUGAUCUUAUAUGAAGUGUAACAUACCUUUCCUUGCCUGUUUGUUAUUAUACCAAGGCGAGGGUGGUGGUUUGUGACACCUGCAGGUAUUAUCGUAGGUUAUGAUAAUAUGGUUGUAGCCAUGUAUCGACCUUUGCCAUGACGGGUGCGCUUGCAUGGCAGGUCAAAUACGCUUAAUAAAAUUUUGAUUUUUUUGGGAGGGGGAGAGACGGCCCUGGCUUUCUUUUCCAUUUUGGGCCGUCUCCUCCCAUGUGUGUGUGCGCGUGUUCUCUCUCUCGCUCCUCUCUCUCUCUCUCUCUAUCUAAAUGGCUGGAUCGCUCUCUUUUUUUGGUUAUAUGUCCACCAAGUGCUUUACUGGUUGUGGCUAUAACAUUGACACAAACAGACUACGGAUGAAACAAAGAAAGGUACAGCGGAUCUGUUCACUCGCCCUAUUUGGGUAUAUGCAUGAUGGGAUAUCUUCCUGAUUUCCACUCUAAAGGUACAGCGGUCUGCCAUAUCAAGUUUUUAAUCCAACCAGGUAAUACCUGCCAUUUGAACUCGAACAAAAGGUGCGUCAAUCUUCUAUAUGAAGUUUCUCAGAAGGUAUUAUCUACUAUUUGAAUCUGAAAGUGAAGUUUGUUAUUCAAUAAUAAUGGGUCUGCCAUAUCAAGUUUUUAAUCCAACAAGGUAUUAUUUGCCAUUCGAACUCAACAAAAGGUGCAUCAUUCUUCUAUAUCAAAUUGGUUCCCCAGAAGUUAUUAUCUGCUAUUCGAAUCUGAAAACAUUUUAUUCUGUAAGCGUGGUUUUUUAUAUGCUAUCUAUUCAUUAUCCGUUUACUUAGCCAAAUGAUUUUUAGCAUAUACUACUAAAACAAAGCAUUAAAGGGAGAUGCAUGUUGUACAUCAUUCAGUCAACCAUCUUUUAACUCUCUCUUUUUCCAACUCGUGUGUGAUUCACCCUUUUGUUGAAAGAUGGUUGAGAGAAUGAAUUUUAUCAUUUCUUAUUAAAUAUUCCUCUAGUUCUACCAAGGUAAAAUUUCUAUACGACCCUGAAGAUUCAAUAGUCUGUCUUAUCAAAACGAAGCUAUAAGCGUUAAAGGAAUCCUUUAGGUUCUAUGAAGGUAAAUAUCCCACAAAGCUAUUUACUAACCCGAAGAUGCUAUCCUUAGUGUCCAUUGGUCUUUACAUUCCAUUAAUUUGUUUUUGCCAAGGUUAUAAACAUGAUCUAAUAAUGAACCUAUUAGUGCUGCCAUAACAAGAUGCGGUUAGAAAUAUACUGAAAAUAUUUACACGGUUGAUAUUAGCAAUCAUUCUUUUAAGUUGCUACCUGCACUCAUUUCUUUGGUUUCCAUUGCACAUGCAAGUUGCCACUCUUCGUUUAAAGCUGGCAGUUCACGAAGUUGAUAAUAUUGAUAUUUUUUUAUAGGCUAUACAAUUACAAUUCAUGAUUUGAAAUGGUACAAGAGUAAGGAUGCGUAUUUCAGUUGAAAUGCUUCUUUGUUUUUGUCCACUUCAUUAUACUUGUAUAACUUCAUUUGCCACGAGCAUGUACUCUUAGUAGGUUUUGGGUGGUAUUUAUCAUUGUACUCCACCUAGUUUAAGGCAUGGGUGUUAUUUAUUGUAUUUCGUUUCAAUCAGUGGAGAUAUUAGUCAAUAUUUGGGUUGGUGACCCCGUGUCCUGUUGCAGAGGCUUUAUGUCUUGCAUUGUAAUUUCUUUUAGAUGAUGAUGAGUAGCUUCUGUAGAGUAGAGCAAUGAGCUUCCAGUUGCUGGUUUGGGUUUCUCUUCUUUUGGAGCAUCGUGGAUGGAGUUGGGCAUGCUUACCUCAUUGAUGCUAUGGUCUGCAAGUGUUUUGACUCUUAACUUGCCUAUCCAAGUUGCCUUAGUGUUCUGUAUGGGUAUUAAGAAUCACUGCUGUCAAAGUUCCAAAGCAUCAACUAUGGAGUUCAGGAAUGCUUACGAGUGAUGUAGUGGUUUGCAAAGAUCUGUUGUUAUCACUUUGAACCUGCCAAUCCAAGUCGAGGAAGUGUUCUUUUGGGUAUCAAGGAGACAUUCUAUUGUUUUGUUGUAGAGCUCGCGAUACAUAGUGUUAUGCGGUAGAGUUCCUGCAGUCUACUGUUUUUUGUGUAAUUCUUCUAAAUGUUAUUCAACAGUGUCAUUGCUGCUGUUCUUUUUGCUCACUGUUGGAGCAGGAGACUUUGUUGAUGGAGAAUGAUCCUUUUUUCACUCGAAGUUGGAGAUAUGAUUGAAUUUGUUUUUUCUCAAACUUGACCGAUGGGGGCUCGAAACACAUGCUUAUUUGCUGUGAGUCUGGAAUUUUCUUGUAUUUUGGUGUUUUUGAUGACCUUAGAAGGUAAAUGCAUUUUGUGAACCAGGACUUCGAUCCCUAAUUGUAUUAUUGAUGUCACCCAAUUCUCAACACCACGCAUUUCCUGGUUUUUUGAGAUUUUGCUUAGUUAUGUGUAUUUAUAUUUGCAAGUUAUUUCGCCCUCUGGAUUAGAUUUGGAUGAAGUAAAUUUAUUUGUUGUGGCUACCUCACAUUUGGGAUUCUGUCAAUUGUGUUAUAUCCUGCUGCAUUAAUGCAUCAACUCAACUCCUUAUUGUGGAUAGUUGAUGUGUUUUACUUGCUCAAAGAGAUUAGGCAGCCGAAAUUAUGAUGUUGAUCUAGAUGCCAGCAGUGUUUUUCCAGGUGUUUAAUAUUUUAUUCCAUCCCUUGCUGGUAAUUGCUGAAACAAUUAUUGUUUUGUGGUAGAACUACUUUAGGACAGCGGGUUUUUUGUGGCAUGACACUAACUUCAACCACAGGAAUCAUUAAUCAUAAUUCAUCUUCAUCUUUGGGACCAGAAGACUAUUUUUGCUGAAGGCUCUUCAUGCUUGUGGAUCCUAGACAUGCUUAUAAUUGUGAUUUUACUCAACUUUGAUCGGCUUGAUGUAUUUGUGGGCUAUUCGUCUCACUUAAAUCUUCAACCCCGGAUUCAAAUCUUCAUUGGGAUCAGAAGAAGACUAUUUUGGCUGAAGACUUUUCAUGCUUGUGGAUUUGAUUUUCCUGAAGUUUUAUCAGCUAUAGUUGUGCAGCACUUGAUAUAUUUCUGGUCUAUUCGACUUACUAGGGUGAUGAAAGGCUGGUAAAGGUUUGUUUGGGCUUGUCGUGCAAUCUGUACUUUGAAGCAAUGGUUUCGGAAAGAUAAGGCCCAAGGGAGUCCAAGGAAGGCAGCUGUGGAAU